AGUGAACGCUGGCGGUAGGCCUAACACAUGCAAGUCGAACGGCAGCACAGUAAGAGCUUGCUCUUACGGGUGGCGAGUGGCGGACGGGUGAGGAAUACAUCGGAAUCUACUUUUUCGUGGGGGAUAACGUAGGGAAACUUACGCUAUACCGCAUACGACCUACGGGUGAAAGCAGGGGUUCUUCGGACCUUGCGCGAUUGAAUGAGCCGAUGUCGGAUUAGCUAGUUGGCGGGGUAAAGGCCCACCAAGGCGACGAUCCGUAGCUGGUCUGAGAGGAUGAUCAGCCACACUGGAACUGAGACACGGUCCAGACUCCUACGGGAGGCAGCAGUGGGGAAUAUUGGACAAAGGGCGCAAGCCUGAUCCAGCCAUACCGCGUGGGUGAAGAAGGCCUUCGGGUUGUAAAGCCCUUUUGUUGGGAAAGAAAAGCAGCAGGUUAAUACCCCGCUGUUCUGACGGUACCCAAAGAAUAAGCACCGGCUAACUUCGUG
rnacentral:rRNA from 1 species